rnacentral:rRNA from 1 species
UAUGUAGGCGUUCCGAUAAGUCAAGCGUGAAAUCCCUUGGCUCAACCAAGGAAUUGCACUUGAAACUGUCGGAAUUGAGUGAAGGAGAGGAGAAUGGAAUUCCCGGUGUAAGGGUGAAAUCUGUAGAUAUCGGGAAGAACACCAGUGGCGAAAGCGAUUCUCUGGCCUUUAACUGACGCUGAAAUACGAAAGCUAGGGGAGCAAACAGGAUUAGAUACCCUGGUAGUCC